rnacentral:rRNA from 1 species
CCCUAGGAUAUAUUAAAUGGCUGCGGUAUUUUGACUGUGCAAAGGUAGCAUAAUCAUUAGUUUUUUAAUUGAAAGCUGGAUGAAUGGGUGAAUGAAAUAUAUAUUUUAUUAAAUUUAUGAUUAAAAUUAAAAUUUUAAGUUAAAAGGUUAAUANUUUAAAGGGACGAAAGACCCCUAUAGAACUUACACAAUAGUUAUAAGGAAUAAUUUAANAUAAAUAUAUUCUAUGGUUUGCAGGGGUGGUAAAUAAAUUUAAACCUUAAUUUUUNUANCCAUAAUAAAUGUAAAUAAAUGUUCAUNAGAUAANAAAAUAACCUUACCGGAGGGAUAACAGCGUAUUAUUAAUGGACAGUUCAAAUCUAUAUUUAGCAUCCCCACCUCUAUGUUGAAUUAAAAUAANUUGGGAAGCUUAUUUCUUAGNUCUGAGCCUGUUCGACUAUCAAACUCUAACUGGAUCCGAACCGGGACCGG